rnacentral:misc_RNA from 1 species
GAAAUGCGAUAAGUAAUGCGAAUUGCAGAUUUCAGUGAAUCAUCGAAUCUUUGAACGCACAUUGCGCCCGCCAGUAUUCUGGCGGGCAUGCCUGUUCGAGCGUCAUUUCAACCAUCAAGCUUUAGGCUUGCGUUGGGGACCUGCGGCUGCCCGCAGGCCCUGAAAACCAGUGGCGGGCUCGCUGUCACCCCGGUCGUAGUAGUAUCAUCUCGUCCAGGGCGUGGCUGCGGUCUCCGGCCGUUAAACCUUCUCAAACCCAAAGGUUGACCUCGGAUCAGGUAGGAAUACCCGCUGAACUUAA